GUGAUCUCUCUACGGCUCAGAGGCUCUAACUUUUACCUUCCUCAGGCGAGAGCACUUCCAACAGCCUUCAGGCCCGUGUUCAGUUCCCGACGUCUGCAUACGAAGUCCCGUGGUGCCACUUUAGAUGCCGUGUGUGGUGCCGGGCCUUGUCACGGCCGAGUGUCCACUGGGCUGGGGAGUACUCUUCGCCUCCAGAGGGAGGGAGGGACGCAAUGUGGCGUUCAAGCUCUUGCCUUGCGGCCUUACGCCCUGGAGCUCCCGCGGGGGUCUGGAUGGAGCUGAGGAGGAGAUGGAGGGAGAGCAGGGUCAGGAAAGCCGCCGUGCUCCCUGUGGACCAGUGUUUCAGGCUCUGCUCAGGGUUGAACCCUCUGGGUCUGCCAGUCAUGGCAGCCUGACCCCUUUCUGUGACCCAGGACAUUCAUCUAGGUCUCUGUGGCCCUUGGAUCUUGUAGUGUUCUCCUUACUGUGCUGCCCUGAGCUCCUCGGAUGGGGACAGAGUCACCGACCUGUGAUCUCUACGUGUUUGCAGAGACUAGAAGGACGUUACAAGGACUUGCAGAACUGAAUUUGCGUUAAGUCACCAUUUCAGCGACUUUAUAGCAGUUUCCUACCGGGACAUUAUAAAACCCAAUAUCUGUUCUUAAAAUUCAUGAAGAGCUCUUAGUAACAUUUCUCCUUCCUUUUGAUCCUCCUUCAGUGUUUAAAAAUGAACUAAAGGACUUGACUUGGACUGCUGAGAUUCAAGAGCACGCACCACUCGUUUCUGUCUAGAAUUCAUAAUGGUAAUGCCUCUCCUCACUCA
rnacentral:lncRNA from 1 species